UACGUAGGUGGCGAGCGUUAUCCGGAUUUAUUGGGUUUAAAGGGUGCGUAGGCGGACUGUCAAGUCAGCGGUAAAAUUGCGGGGCUCAACCCCGUCGAGCCGUUGAAACUGGCAGACUUGAGUUGGCGAGAAGUACGCGGAAUGCGCGGUGUAGCGGUGAAAUGCAUAGAUAUCGCGCAGAACUCCGAUUGCGAAGGCAGCAUACCGGCGCCCAACUGACGCUGAAGCACGAAAGCGUGGGUAUCGAACAGG
rnacentral:rRNA from 1 species